UACGUAGGGUGCAAGCGUUGCCCGGAUUUAUUGGGCGUAAAGGGCGCGUAGGCGGCUACGCACGUCCGUUGUGAAAUCGCUCGGCUCAACUGGGCGGGGUCAGCGGAUACGGCGUAGCUGGAGCAAGCUAGGGGGCAAUGGAAUUCCCGGUGUAGUGGUGGAAUGCGUAGAUAUCGGGAGGAACACCAGUGGCGAAGGCGGUUGCCUGGAGCUUUGCUGACGCUGAGGCGCGAAAGCGUGGGUAGCAAACAGG
rnacentral:rRNA from 1 species